CUGGCCUCAAAAUCCUGGACUCAAAUGCUCCUCCUGCCUCAGCCUCCUGAGUGGCUGAGACUACAGGCUUGUGCUACCGUGCCUGAUUUUGCUCAGGUCUUGUGGGACUGGAGGUGGGGUGAAGGUUGAAUGUCAUCAGCUCCUCCCUGCCUCUGGUGCACCUGCUAGGAACUGCCCAGGAGACCAGCCCAGGACUCCAGCCUGCGGUGCAGGAGGUGAUCGCCACGUAUGCACGAAGACACGUCUGCUGGUGUUUUCGCUCAGGAGCUGUACGUGGGGCUCCCUAGAAGAGGCUGAUCUUUUACAAUGUUUGUUGGAUUUUGAUGUCAGUCUUGUGCUCACCUCAUCGAAGAAUUCUGGAAGGCUUUGGAAUGAUCCCCCCUUUGAAGAAUUAUGCAAAAGCGCGGCCCCGUGAUUAGGGACCAAGCCUUUGGGUGCAGACAAGAGUCAAGUAGAAGAGCCCUGAGCAGCCCUGUGCCUUCGCGUGGGGCGAGUGCACUCUGCGUCCCCGCCCUCAUUUCCCAGGGAGGGAAGCAGGGGCGGCCGCCAGCAGGAGCCCGGCCGGCCGCAGCGAUGGCAUCACCACGAUGCCCACCCUGAGGGCCCUCAUGGAACGUUUCCCAGCACAGCACCAGCGGUGCGGAGGGAAGGCCAUUGUCCCUGAAGCACGCUCUGUCCCCUGGCUCUGUCUGGGGCAGAGGGGAGCAUGCUUCCUGCUGUGGGCGCCCUCUCCUGUGUGCCCCAGGGAGGGGCGCUGGGGACUCCAGUUCCAAGCAGCACGCAGUGGGCCUGCUGCAAGCUGGGCGCUGGCCCCAGGGCUCCAUCACUGUGGAGGCUGCACCAUCCCCGGGCCACGCACAGGGUACGCGGCUCCCGUGAACCUGGAGGACUGAGGAUUCCGCCUGUGAUCACUAUGCGGGGCAGCCUGUGGGGCGGGGCUGAUUGCUGGCCGCCCAGGGUGCCACUUCCUGGGGCCCAGGCAGCAGGAGGACACGACCAGCCUGGGAUGACCAGGCCUUGGCUCACUCAGGCACUUUUCGGUCUCGCACGGGGACAGCGUCCCCUGAGCACUGCGAGGUGGACUCUGCCUGUGUGGGUGACCAAGGGUCUCUGUCCUCAGGGACCCACAGUUGGCUUGGAAGACGCGAGCAGUAAAAGGAGAAGAAAGAGCGGGAGGAGGCAUCGACUGAUCUUGAGCCAUGAUUCAUCUUCAUGAGCACCAAGCAAAGAGCCAAAGACAGAGUCAUCCUUGAAGGGCGAAGUUUAUGCUGCACGUCAGCUUUAUGGGGACAUAAACCGUGCACGGCAAAAGCCAGGGCAGCCCUUCCUGGUCUCUAAGAGCCGGUGGGGGCCUGGAGAUCAGUGCUGGAACCCGAGCUGAGAAGCGUCUCCAGACUUCAGUGCCGCCCUUGCGUCCUCCUGGGUGUGCUUUCCCAGCAGCCCCUUCAUCGAAGGCUCACAAGUCCCACCCGUGCGCACCGUGCCACUGCGCUGAUCGGACCCCGUUCCUGUGAGAGCGUUUGUCUGACAUUACCCUUCGAAUAAAAGAAACCGCGCGCGUGGGCCUGGGUUCUUCUGCUUGAGCUUGUUUGUGAGAUUCGUCCAGAUUGUCUCGGGCAGAAAUCCAUUUCCCUUUCCUUGCUGUCCAUUGUUUGCACGCAUAAUUGCCUAAAGGGCUUUCUCCGCUCCUGUGAGGGAUGUCGGGCACAGCGCAGGGCUCCUCACCCAGGUGCGUCUUGGUAGCCUGCGCGGGUCUCUCGGGAGACUCGGUUCCAGCUUCAGAAGGUGCUGCCCAGCGGCGUCCUAGGCCGACAGUGUCCACUGGCACUGGCCCCACCCAGCACCGGUCCUGGUAAGCCAGGCCCGCCGCUGUGGUCAAGCCCCUUUUCUUACGUUACUCACUAUUUUGUGAAUGCUUUUGCAAGUCUUUCCCCACUGUGAGAACAAGCUGUCUAGUGUUUUCUCAUUGAUUUGUAGAAGUUAUUGUUUGUUUACCAUGUGGUGGUUUAUAGGACUUGGACUGAUCAUAAGCCAUGAUUCAUUUUUGUGUGAAUCAAGCAAAGAACCAAAGACAGAGUCAUCUUUGGAGGACAAAAUUUGCUCUGCAUGUCAGCUUUACGGAGGGCGUAAUAGUCCCUUUGUUUUGAGGCGUUGUCUUUUAUGUCUCCCAGGCUGGUUUCAAAUGCCUGGGCUCCGGCCGCCCUCCUGCCUCAGCCUCUUGAGUUGUGGGACUGCAGAUGUGAGCCACCACGACUGGCCAUAGAAAUUCUUUGUGUUCUGGAUACGAGGUUUUCAUUUGAUACGUGCUGCACUGUUCAGGGUUGUUGAGGGAGACAGUACUGAUUGCAGACAUAAUAUGAUCUGGCCGCCCCUCAGUCCCCUCUCCUCAUGGGUGCCCGACCCCCUGAUGCUCAUGUUCCUGAUCUGAAAAGGUGCUGGAUUUUUUGCAUAGAACCCGUGCACUCCUCCCUGUAUUGCACCUCACCUUCAGAUGAGCGCCUGAUACGCUGUAAAUGCCGCGCGAGUGGGUGUUAACGCUGGAUUGUUAAAGGACUACGACAAGAAAACCUUCUGUGUGCGGUCAGCAUAAGUGAGAUUUUGGGGGGAUGAUUCUAUCUACGGGUGGUUGAGUGGACCUGGAUCCCAAGACCCAGAGGCCCCUGUGUGUGUGGAUCGCCUCUCUGCACCCGGAAAACCAGCCUGCAGCUCACAGAGAGUGGGUGUGAGCUGUGGGCUGGGCCCCAGGGUCCCGGAGACCAGGGCAGCCAUGGUGGGGUUCAGGCUGGAGCCCAAGGCCUGUGACCAGGAGCGAAUGGGGGAUCCUGGCUGCAGGGCAGAAGGUCCACACUCCCACUCCAGCAGGCAGCAAGCAGAGGACAGAAUCGCUCCUGCCCAGUCUUCUUGAUCUGUGCAGGACUCGGGAGAGGAUGGCACCACCCAGAACUGGGUUCCAUCUGCGAUGGGUGGCUGGGGCUCAGGGUGGGGCCUGUGCUGGGGUCCCUGGGGGUGGCAGCGGUGGUCCUGUCUGCACUGCUGCAGGGGGGCAGUGUCCCCUUUGGGGGCGGAGGCGGGGAGGGGCUUUCUGCUGGGGCUGCUGGGUCUGCCU